AGAAUAAUAUUGUUACGCGAUGCAACGUGGUGGGCGAGCCAGCGACGGCGGCAGCCGGAGCGAGGGAGCCCGCGGCGCCGUGACGGGUCGCUCCUCCGACCCACGCGCUGCCGCCGGCCGGCCGUCCGCUCCUCCGCCGACCGGCUAUGCACACCGCCCAGCUCCGCCCCGAUACGAGCUGGGUAAAAUCCCACCCACCGCCCAGCUCCCACCAGAGAAUGGCCUCCGCCCCUGCUUUCAGCGCGCCGCCGCCGGUCUACCGAUUCCACGCCGCCGCCGGCCUCCCGCCACACACGCCGCCGCCAUCCUACCGUCACACGCGCCGCCGCCGCCUCCCGCCACACGCAUCGCCGCCGGCCUCCCGCAAGACUCGCCGCCGCCGGCCCCCACUUCCACCCGCCAUCAGGCACCUUCAAGGGCCACCCAGUCACCUUCACCGCCGCCACGAGCGACGCGCCUCCUCCCAUGGAUGCGGUCGCUGCCCUGCGCCUCCCGCUGGCGACGAGCCCAGUCCUCCUGCCUUCUUCCAGCGACGCGCGCCGUUCAACGCCACCACCACUGCCAGUUCAACACUGCCCCGCUUUGCUUCUCUCAACUUCAAAAAGAGGUUCAGUUCAGAAGUUUCAACAAGAAAAAGAGGUUCAUUUCAGAACUUGCGUGUGGUGUCUGUACUGCUGCUAACCUUGUUUUGCUUCUUUACAAAGCCUCUAGGAAUAUUAGUACUGAAUAGUUUCUGUGAGUUCCAGCCGGCAAGUGGCCCUGCACAACAACAAUCAGCAGUUCGACAGGGGAGUGUGGGUCAGUACCACGCCGACAAGUCAGGCAGACGUCCUUUGCAUCAUGAACUGGUGCAGUUCGAUCUUGCGCAAGCAGGAAAUUCCCUGAUGCCGAGUGUGUCAGUACCACCCUACACAGCAGCAAUCAUUGUCUUCUUGCAGCUUCCAUUGAACACUUAAUCCAAGGAAUUUUGGGUGGAGCAACAUUUGUCGGUCUUAGGAAUCUCGGUCAUUAUUCACCACCAGACAUGGUGAUGGUCAUUGCUGCUCUUUCCAUCGCAUGGGAGCCGGUUGUUGCUCCUCUUCAAUAUCUCUAUAUCUGAACUAUAGUUGCUUGCUAUCUCACCCCUCUCAAAACUGUUCGAUGAUUCAUGUACAGAGAAAUUAAAUACCUUUUUUGUGUUUCUUUUUUAAGUCAUUAUAUGCUCUCGAAAUGUUUAUGUUUAUGCCUCAAAAAAGAGAGAAAGAGAAAACCAGUACAUGUGUCUCACACUCUGUUACAUAAGAUUUUAAUUAUCUUUGCCACAAAGCUUCAUUUAUCCAGAGAAGUUCAAAGUAAAGAUUAGUUCACACUUUAGGUUUUUCUCCUUUGGUCUAUUUGUUAAGUUCUGACUCCUUCAGUUUUGGUUGCAGAGAAAGUUCAAAGUUCAUGCUCCUUUAUUUUUUGUUAAGUCAGGCAGAGUCAGGUUUUGCUCGGGCAUCAUCUCGUCUCGUCCGUUCAGCAAAAGCCUCCAGAUAAGUUUACACUUGUGGUUUUGCUCAUUGGUUUAAUUCUUCAGUCCACACUCCUUGGGUUUUUGUUCUAGAGAAGUUAAAGAAAACCUGUAGAAGUUUGUGGUAAGUUAUGUUUCAUUUGAAGCAGGAACAUCAACUGCCACACCGAUGGUGUUUUGUAUAAUUCGUACCAAUUGAUUCAUAUGUUUGAUUCUAACCCUUUAAAUUUUACUGGACUACGCAGCCCAAGGACAUGGUGUUGAAGCUGUCGGGCGCGCAGAGGCAGGGGGUGCUGAAGCGCGGGGGCUUGCUGCUGCCGAGGGGCCGAACAACGCCCCUGUACUAGAGCAGGUAGUACUGCCUGGGCGUGUCCACCUGCGACGUACCUGGCCACAGUGGCGGCACAGCGGCGUCGAGCACGAGCUGCACGCCGCGCUUGCCCAUGCAAUCCGCCGCCUGCUAGCCCCGCAUCCUGCCGGCGGUCGUCUCCGCAUCAGUUCGAUUUGGGCACUUGGGGCAGCGGCUUAAAAGUUGACUGAUGCCAUGAUUUGGCAUUUUACUCUAUGAAUAGUGAAAUAGUGUUGUGUAUUCUUAUCAGUUCAUGAUUGCCAUCAUGAUACUUGUAUUGGGGGCUGGAGCUCAUGUAUUACUCCCAGGUGUUUGCUUAAAUGCUUCAGUCCAACAAAAAGCUCCAGAAAAGUUCAUAGUUUGUUUUCAGAAAAGCUCCAUGGCAUUUCUUCGGCUGCAGCAUGUACAUGCAUCCCUACAAAAAAAAAUGUCCUAUAGGUGUUUAUGUUCAUGCCUACAAGUGAUUUGUUGUGAAGUUAGGCAAGAUGAAGCUGGGACAAGUCCGAAUCGCGUGGCAGCGCCUCUUGUGAUUACUACUACAAAGCAGAAAGGAUCUCUAACGCUCGAGCCACAGCAGCUCCCAGGCCGUUCACCGUCGGCACCAUAGUACGUUCACUGCCGACACCCAAGGCCGUUCACCGACGCAACGAUGAGGUCUGGCCGCCGUUCACCGACGCAACGAUGAGGUCUGGCCGUCGUCACCCACGACCGUGCACUCGCAUCUCCCCAGCUUCAAGUAGUGUCCUCCUCUAGCUGCAGGACGCGUUCUCCUCCAGCUGCAGGACAAUGCUAUGGUGCACAUUCAAGGCAGCAAGCACACCACAGGUCGCAGCGCUGCCGUCGACCACAUGUGUGCAUGCGUGCGAUUGAUGCGUGUGUGCCUUAGGUCUCCAAUUAGUUCAACUACAAAUAAUUACAUCCGUUCGACUACAUAUAUUACACUAGUUCAACUGUGUGCGUCGCACCAAUUGACCUAAGUUUUACAUAUGUUAUCACUUCAGAAAAACUAUAGAUUUUGAUGAUGCAAGAUUAGUUAUUUUUUCUAUUUCCUAUAAGUUCAAGUGAUCAAUUGCUAUAGUUGGCGGGUUGUUUACUCAGGCAGUUAAAAAAGUGGUCAUUGCUGUCUUUUUUUAAAGAUGUUCGAGUGAUUCUUGUAAAAAAUGCUGCCUAUAUUAAGAGAAGAACUCCUUCCUCCAUUGGCUGUCUCAGUUCAACUGGUUAAGCGUCUCAGUGCAACUAUAUUGACUAUGCCCAGAACAUUAACAUGGUGAUGGUUGUGUUUCAUACAUCCAGGCAAUAUGAUGCUUGCAAUGGAGUAUUGUACAAAGCUCCCAUUUGCAUUGAAUACCGCUACCACCAUGUAUUUGUACUUCAACGAACUUGUUGAAACAACUCUUGUACAACUCUUUCUAUCUCACUCAUAUUUCUAGUUUU